rnacentral:antisense_RNA from 1 species
UGUUUCCCAUCUUACACUUUUUCAGAAUAGAUAUUCCCAUGGUAGAAUCAUGGGCUGACACUAUCACAUUAUAAAAUUUUCUCUGGUUCUGUCUCUUCCCCUCAGGAACACACAUGGAUGAUUCUUAUUACUUUAUGCCCACAUUAAAUAAUUGUAUACACCAUGAACUGGAGGCCUUGUGUUUUGAGUGAAAAGCUUUGGAUUUGAGUUUGUGUUUCCAAACACACUUCUGAGGCAGAAAUUGUCAAGAGCUUUCCCAAACUCUUUUUUUAAUCCUCCUGAGCUCACCAUCUCUGGGACUGUCUUGCAAUUGGACAGCCAUGCAAUUGAGCUUCAGCCAAUGAAACAUGAGUGGAGGGCGUGACACACAACCUGCCAUGUUCAAGCCUCCAUACUCUUUCCCUCCUCCAGCUUUGUGCUGAUGAACAUGGUCACCUUGAAAGGUGUGUUGAAUAUGGCAGAGCCAGAAAAUGCAAGGAGCUUCUUCUCUGGAUCACCACUUGAAGAAGAGCCACUUGCUCCUCAGGAACCCUAUUUUGGACUGACGUUGCAAGAAAGCUCAAGUAGCCUAUGGAGAGGAUGCAAGGCUUCCAACUGAUGCCCUCAGCCAGGCUCAGUAGCAGCCAGAACUAGCCUACCAAUGAACCUGCUGAUCAUGUGCAUAAGCCACCUUGAACGUCGAUCCUCCUGCCUGGUGGAGCCAUCCCAGCUGAUGCCACGUGAAGCAGACACAAGCUGUCCCUACUAAGCUCUGCUCAAGUUGGAUAUUCAUGAGUGAAAUAAAUGACU